GUUAUUUUAUUUGAUAUUUCUUUUGCUCCAUUCCAUUUCCUGUUCCUUCUUCUCCACAUGAUUCUUUUCCCUCUCACUCUCUCUUUCUCUAGGAUCCAUAUCCCUUUUACAAUAGGAGCUCUUAAAUUCUUCCAGCAACUUCAUCCCUCUCCCGGCGACUUUUCUUUCUCAUCUUCAUGACUUCGGUUAUCUACAGAACUUAUUAGUAGGGCAAACGGUCGUUGGAAACUAUGCCAUGUCAACACAACCCCUUUUUGCAAUCUUCCCUCGAACCUAUCCUCACUCACGAUACGUGUUCUUAGAGAAGAUAACAAACCAACCACAGUAGGGGAAAGAUGGGCGCAUCACUUCACAGGUCUUCAAAAAGACAGGCAAUACAGUUAAAACCUCCAUACCUUAUGGAAGGUUGAGUGAAAUCCUUUAAUGAGUACAUAGAAGAAGGAAUUAAGCAGAUAACCUUGAAGAACUAUACAAGAAAAUUUAUGUUGUUGUCUGUGCUGAUCCCACGGUGAAGAAAUCUGAUAAGGAACCACCCAAGGGCACUAUAAACGUUUAUGACAUGAUUGAAGAAUUCAUCAACAAGGGGUAUGAACGUCGAAAUAAUGCAGCUGCAAUGCAAACUCUUGUUACUAAUUGGUUAGAAAAUAUCAUGCAAGAGCGCUCAAAUAAUGACAGAGGCUUUCGUGUUAUUCCAUUGAACUUAUACGAGUUUCAAAUUGUUGGCUAUGGCAUGUUCGUUGGAGUAGUCAACUUAGAAAAUAAGACAUGCUCAUGCAAGAAAUUCGACAUUGAUGGAUUUCCUUGUGUCCAUGCAAUUGAAGUAUGUAUGCAUCGACAUAUUUCUCCAUAUAUCCUUUGCUCGGUGCAUUACUAAGUUGACCCACUCUGUGACGCAUAUUCGGAAACCAUAUAUCCACUUGGAGAUAAAUGUCAGUGGCAUGCUCGAGAUGAUGUCAUAAACCAGCUUGUACUUCCACCUAAGAUUGGAAAACAGUCAGGAAGACCAAGAAAGAAGAGGAUUCAAUCUCAAGGAGAGGAGCAUCUUCAAUAUAGAUGCAGGGGAUGCAAAUAAAUUGGUCACAGCAGCCGAUCAUGCUCGGCCGCCGUACCUCUUGACCGCACUACCAACCAACAACACCAUUCAACUGAAGGACCAUAAAUUGCUCUACGCUAUAUUAAGCCAAUGGGGGCAUGUUAUGCGGUAUUGGUGUGUUAUGCAAUGUAGUAGGGAAUGCAAUUACUAGCUCAACCGCUAACAUGUGUUUUGGCAUAAUAGAUGUUGGUUUUAUGUGUUGCUUUAUUGGCAAAGUUAUCCGUCAUAUUGUGUUUUUAAAAUAUCAUUCUGUGUUCAGUUUUUUGUAGGUUUCUUACUAUUUCAUGGAUGCUAUUACUACCCAAUGGUAAUUACCGAUGCAUCGUCGGUAAUUGACAUUUGUCCACCGUUGUAAAAAAAUCACCACAAUUCCAUCCGACAACUUCAAUCGUGUGUCUUUCCA